rnacentral:rRNA from 1 species
UCGGAAUCGCUAGUAAUCGCGUAACAGCAUGACGCGGUGAAUACGUUCCCGGGCCUUGUACACACCGCCCGUCACACCAUGGGAGUUGGGUCUACCCGAAGACGGUGCGCCAACCUGUUCGCAGGGGGCAGCUGGCCACGGUAGGCUCAGCGACUGGGGUGAAGUCGUAACAAGGUAGCCGUAGGGGAACCUGCGGCUGGAUCACCUCCUUU